rnacentral:rRNA from 1 species
GCGGCUCGGAGGAGGCAACGGUGCAACUUUCUUCGGUCGUCCCGAAUCCGGGUUCAUCCGACACCAGCCGCCUCCACCAUGCCGCCCAAGUUCGACCCCAACGAGGUCAAAGUCGUGUACCUGAGGUGCACCGGAGGCGAGGUCGGCGCCACAUCCGCCUUGGCCCCGAAGAUCGGUCCUCUGGGUCUGUCUCCCAAGAAAGUUGGCGAUGACAUUGCCAAGGCUACCGGUGACUGGAAGGGUCUCAGAAUUAC